GAUGAACGCUGGCGGCGUGCCUAAUACAUGCAAGUCGAGCGAAUGGAUUAAGAGCUUGCUCUUAUGAAGUUAGCGGCGGACGGGUGAGUAACACGUGGGUAACCUGCCCAUAAGACUGGGAUAACUCCGGGAAACCGGGGCUAAUACCGGAUAAUAUUUUGAACUGCAUGGUUCAAAAUUGAAAGGCGGCUUCGGCUGUCACUUAUGGAUGGACCCGCGCCGCAUUAGCUAGUUGGUGAGGUAACGGCUCACCAAGGCAACGAUGCGUAGCCGACCUGGGAGGGUGAUCGGCCACACUGGGACUGAGACACGGCCCAGACUCCUACGGGAGGCAGCAGUAGGGAAUCUUCCGCAAUGGACGAAAGUCUGACGGAGCAACGCCGCGUGAGUGAUGAAGGCUUUCGGGUCGUAAAACUCUGUUGUUAGGGAGGAACAAGUGCUAGUUGAAUAAGCUGGCACCUUGACGGUACCUAACCAGAAAGCCACGGCUAACUACGUGCCAGCAGCCGCCGCCG
rnacentral:rRNA from 1 species